rnacentral:misc_RNA from 1 species
UAAUAAGUGUUUUAUGGCACUUUUUAAAUCCAUAUCCACCUUGUGUGCAAUGUCAGGUCGGUUUUCUUUUUCGUCAAGAAAAAAAGGAUCGACCAAACAUCAACUUAUUCUAAUUGAACUUUUGUCUGAAAACUAUUAUGAAUAAACUAAUUCAAAAUA